AGUAUUUUGACUAUACAAAGGUAUUGAAAUAAGACUUUAAUUGAGUGCUAAGAGAAUGGAACUUCAUAAAAUUUCUUUUUUAAUUUUAAAAAUUGAAAUUAAUUUUAUAUGUGAAGAAACAAUAAUAAAAAUUAAGGACAAGAAGACCCUAAGAAUUUUAAAAAUUUCAAUAAAAUGCUGUAUUUUAUUGAAAUUUUUUAAUUGGGGCGAUUAUUAAAUAUUAAAAACUUUAAUUUUUUUAAAAAAGAACCAAUAAUAUUGGCUAUUUGAAAAAAUACUCUAGGGAUAACAGCGUAAUAAUUUUUGAUAGUUCUUAUAGACAAAAUAGUUUGCGACCUCGAUGUUGGAUUAGGAUUCUUUUUUAAUGAAGAAGUUAAAAAAAGAAGUUUGUUCAACUUUUAAAAUCCU
rnacentral:rRNA from 1 species